GGCCCCUUCGUCUAGCGGUUAGGACGUCGCCCUCUCACGGCGAAAGCAGGAGUUCGAUUCUCCUAGGGGUCA
rnacentral:tRNA from 1 species